CCUGCUGUCCUUAAAAAAAAUCUAUAUGCUAUCUUUUACCAUCUGUAAUCUUAGGCUAUACAGUUUACUGAUUCUCUGUAUAUUUCAUUGAAAAUGAAAAAACACCUGAUCGUUCUGGUUUUCUGCUUCAGUUUAGUGCUCCCAAUACAGAACAGAAAGAAUCCACCUCGAAAUGUAUUUUUACGUACAUUUUUAUCAACUAACGAGAUGAUAAACCGUACGCUUUUCAAUAAAACUCAAGGAUAUUUUUGGGAGAAUAACACGGAUCAUGCAGAGACACAAUGGCCACAAAACGUCUCACAAAAUUAAAACAAAACCUAUUUGCACAGCCCUGUAAUGAAAUUGUAAUUAAAGCAACUGGAAAUCAUGCUGUUCAUCAAUCAACUCUGCAGGAUUUUAUAAUCUUAAGAUAAAGUUUAAGACAUGCAAUUAUGACCCAUGUCAGGUUAAAGUUUUUCAUUUAAGUCAAAUUAUUAACAUUUGACCCUUUUUUUCUGUAAAGAUAUCUAAAUAUUCCUAAAAUUGUAUUUGAAAGCAAAAUGGCAUAUCCAGUUUUAAGAGUAGAAAUGUUUAGAUUAAAAUGAAGAAAUUUUUUUUAAAGGGGUAAGAAAAAUAAGUUUAUUCUUUACUUGUCAUUACCUACACAAUAAUUGUAAUGUUUACUAUGUAUAACACUGAAAUUUAACUAUUGGGAAAAUUAUGUGAUAUUCCAGCAAGAACAUCUUUUCAGUCUUUAAAUGUUUAUAAUGUAAAUUUACAAAAUCAAAGUCGAUAAUGUUCAUUGAUUGAUGACUUUGUCUGUACACAUUUCAAUUUGGGGGCAAACAGAAGAGUUGAAACAAUGCCAGUGGAAAUAAUCAAAGUUUAAGGAAAGUAUUUAAUAUCACAACAGUCCACCAGGUCUUUUAAUGAAGCAUCAUCUCAUCAUCUCUUCAAUUUGUGAGGCUUAAUAUGUUGGCCUCCAGCGGUGUAAAUUUGCCUGAGAAAUCUGUAGGUCAUUUAUUCAAGAUCAUGUUUAUUCUUUGAUUUUUUUAUGUCUUCCUUAUAUCUUAUGUCUUAAAGUUAUUUAGUUUUAAUAUAUGUACAGUCUUUGUGUCUAAAGGUUAAAAAUCGAACCAUGGCAUCAUAAAAAUCUGUAAGGUUUCUGGUGAACUACUAACAUUUUUAAAUCUUGACUAAUGUGCUUUUUUGUGAAAAGGCUAACCAUGUGAGUCUUUAAGAGCAUAAAUUAGUUUGCGUUGUUUGAAGGGAACAUGUUACUAUCUUACCUCUGUGGCUCUGGCUAAAACCAAGAUGGCCUGUUCCAGAAAAGACUUUUUGAUAUAAAUGGCCUCCCUUUGGGGGAAGAGGAUAAACAAAACAUUUCAACAUUAUGAGGAGCUUGCCAAGAUUAACACACAAAUGCAAACUGUACUGGACUUUGAUACAAAACAAAUUUACUAAUGUCCUAUUUAACCCUUACCUAUUAUUCAGUGUAUAAUUUUUGAUUUUGUCCUCCAAUUAUUCUGUUUUCUCCCCAUGUCAGCACAGACAGCAAUGUUAUAUGAAAGAUUGGCAUAUUUUAUUUUAAAAAUGUAAGAAAAUACAAAAUCUGAAUGUGCAUUGUUUUACCUUGUGGUAAAAAACAUGUUUGUAUAAAGAUACCCUUGUUGAAGGUUA